GAUGAACGCUGGCGGCGUGCCUAAUACAUGCAAGUCGAGCGAACGGACGAGAAGCUUGCUUCUCUGAUGUUAGCGGCGGACGGGUGAGUAACACGUGGAUAACCUACCUAUAAGACUGGGAUAACUUCGGGAAACCGGAGCUAAUACCGGAUGAUAUUUUGAACCGCAUGGUUCAAUAGUGAAAGACGGUUUUGCUGUCACUUAUAGAUGGAUCCGCGCUGCAUUAGCUAGUUGGUAAGGUAACGGCUUACCAAGGCAACGAUGCAUAGCCGACCUGAGAGGGUGAUCGGCCACACUGGACCUGGAACACGGUCCGGACUCCUACGGGAGGCAGCGGUGGGAAAUCUUCCGCAAUGGGCGAAAGCCUGACGGAGCAACGCCGCGUGGGUGAUGAGGGUCUCCGGAUCGUAAAACUCUGUUAUUAGGGAAAAACAUAUGUGUAAGUAACAGUGAACAUCUUAACGGAACCAAAUCAGAAGGCCACGGCUAACUACGU
rnacentral:rRNA from 1 species